rnacentral:rRNA from 1 species
UACGAAGGGUGCAAACGUUGCUCGGAAUUAUUGGGCGUAAAGCGCACGUAGGCGGCUUUGUAAGUUGGAUGUGAAAUCCCUCGGCUCAACCAAGGAAGUGCAUCCAAAACUACAAAGCUUGAGUACUUAAGAGGAUCGCGGAAUUCCCGGUGUAGAGGUGAAAUUCGUAGAUAUCAGGAAAACACCCGUGGCUAAGGCGGCUACAUCUAGUACGGUACUGACGCUGAGACGCGAAAGCGUGGGGAGCGAACAGG